UCCUUAUACUGUAGCAGGAGCUUGUAAAGUUUCUCGGUUUCUCCGCAGCUGUAUAAGUAGUCGGCUUGUUCUACGACUUCAUCGGCUGAACAGAAAGGAAAAGGAGACUCUGGAGUCAUAGAUUUCCUUCAUCCUGAUACGACCCCUUUAAUGCCUGAGAGAUGUUUGGAUGUUUAUGGUGGUGAAGGUCUUACAGUGUUUGCGCUCCUGCGGAAAGAGCCCCAGUGUCGCCGCGUUACUCCGCUCACCACACGCCGGAAAGCCCGCAGCGGAGAGACAGCGGCCAUGUCUUCACACCGACAACCCCGCAAAGUCACCUCACACAACCUGCUACGAAGCAGAGUGCAACGAUUCCCAGCUCAUUGCUCUUUAAUUCCGCCUCCCACAAUGUGAAACCAACUCCAGUGG